AUGAAGACAUCCAUGGGAGCUUUAAUCAUGCUUUUAUGGCUGCAGCUGAACUGGUUCAGCCAAGGAGAGAAGGUGGAGCAGCAUCCUUCUACCCUGAGUGUGCAGCAGGGAAGCAGCUCUGUUAUCAACUGCAGUUAUUCAGACAGUGCCUCAGAGUACUUCCCUUGGUAUAAGCAAGAGUUUGGAAAAGGUCCCCAGCUCCUUAUAGACAUUCGUUCAAACACGGCCAAAAAAGAAGACCAAAGACUCACUGUUUUAUUGAAUAAGAUGACCAAACAUCUCUCCCUGCACAUCGCAGACACCCAGCCUGAAGACUCAGCUGUGUACUUCUGCGCAGCAAGCACACAUUGCUUCCCAGGCACCUGCUGCCUGCACUCAAACCUGGGAUCCAGUAUUGCCCAGAAAGUAACUCAAGCCCAACCAGCGAAGUUAGUGCAGGAGAAGGAGGCUGUCAUUCUGAAAUGCACAUAUGACGCCAGUGAUCUGAGUGAUAGUCUAUUGUGGUACAAGCAGCCCAGCAGUGGAGCAAUGAUAUUACUUAUUCAUCAGGAUUCUUAG